rnacentral:lncRNA from 1 species
UGGGAGAAAGACUUUUCACAAAAGGGAAAAAUACCUCUUGACCGAGGAUACAUGCAUGAAUACCAUCUAAAUCAUCAGUAUAUGGUUUUAACUGACUAAUAAACGGUAUGCCAAGAAUAAUAUCUUCAUUGAUAUUUUCAGUUAUUACAAAAUCAUUUGUAAAGCAGAUAUUAUUAUAACAAAUAUGGGCUUUAGACAAUUUGUAAUCUAUUUUCAUCCGCUCUCCUAUAGCGGAAUAUAAACGAGUGGUACCCUUUUGAAGGUACUUCAACGGGA